GAUGAAGAACGUAGCGAACUGCGAUAAGUAAUGUGAAUUGCAGAAUUCAGUGAAUCAUCGAGUCUUUGAACGCACAUUGCGCCCCCUGGCAUUCCGGGGGGCAUGCCUGUCCGAGCGUCAUUGCUGCCCUUCAAGCCCGGCUUGUGUGUUGGGUCGUCGUCCCCCCCCGGGGGACGGGCCCGAAAGGCAGCGGCGGCACCGCGUCCGGUCCUCGAGCGUAUGGGGCUUUGUCACCCGCUCGAUUAGGGCCGGCCGGGCGCCAGCCGGCGUCUCCAACCUUCUAUUUUACCAGGUUGACCUCGGAUCAGGUAGGGAUACCCGCUGAACUUAAGCAUAUCAAUAAGCGGAGGA
rnacentral:misc_RNA from 1 species